AGGCUACAACCCACAUACGGCACAUGGCCACGCAGCCUAUACCGCAGAGCGCAGAGGCAUAAACCCCCCGUAACCUAACCCCAAGUCCUAGUCCCACUCCCAUCCUCUCGACAUCUUUACGUCCCUAGCGGCUGGUGGUCGUCCGCCUAUCUGGAUUCGGCCAUCCUAGGCUCCGCCCAUCUGGAUCUGGUGCCUUAGGGACUACCCCCAUCUAGAUCUGGCCAUCCUAGGCUCCAAAGACCGGACACUCGGCACGACGAUCGGCGCCUUAGGCAUGGACACUGAGGAGCCGAGGUGCCCGGGGAUGUCGCGUUCACUGGCAGCGCUGGGAUGUCUUCCAUCGUGCGUGCUGAGGUAGAUGAUAAUGCCAACGUAGAAGGGGAUGAUGCUUAGUUGGGUUCAACUCUAUCCUGUCCUGUCAGUUUGGAUGGCGAAGGUGGAGUGUUGAGAGCACCAUAGAUGGUUCCAAUAAGAGAAUGAGAACCAGAAUGUCAAAAACUAGGGUUUGGAAAGAUUGGAAGCCUCUCUUCAAAAUCACGAACGAUAAGCAAGUUCGGUAUGCUGCUAUAUGUAAGAUUUGCAAUGUAGAGUUGUUUGCUAAGUCUAGUGGUGGUACUGGUCAUCUAUUGAGGCAUGUUGCUGCUUGUACCGGAACUGUAAUUGCUAUUAUGUGAACUGUAACUGCUACUAUGUCUUCACUGGUGAAAAAUCUUUGUGGUCUGUUUCACUAUUUGUGACUAUGUAGUAUGCGCUUGUAAGGCUGUAACUGCUAUUAUGUAAACUAUAAGUCUGUAACUGCUAAUAUGCUUUUAUGUCUUCACUGGUGAACUAUAAAUAUUUUUGUGGUA